rnacentral:lncRNA from 1 species
GAACAAUCUUUCGUAAGUGACUAGUUCAGGAAACUGAAAUGAAAUAUUGAAUCUUUGGUCUAUAUGAUUUUAGUUAAAAUGAAUAUAUAACACAACACACUUUGUGAAUCUCUGAUUCUUUCAACAAAUUUUCUGAACCCAUGAUUUUAUUCCCUCAGCGAGAACUAACUACACUUCAUACAGUUUCCAACUAUUACACUAACUACCUGUGAUAUAUUUUGUCAUUCUCAAACAC